GGGUUUAUCCAUUGGUCGGGCUUUACGGUCCGUACUGGUGUGAUGGAUUCCUACCUUCUGAAUAACCUUCAUGCCAUUAAUUUGGUGCGUUGGGGAAGCAGAGCUGUUACCUUGAAAAAAUUAGAGUGCUUAAAGCAGGCAAGUGCCUGAAUACAUUAGCAUGGAAUAAUGAAAUAGGACGGCAUGGUUCUAUUUUGUUGGUUUCUAGGAUCACCGU
rnacentral:rRNA from 1 species